rnacentral:misc_RNA from 1 species
AAGUCGUAACAAGGUUUCCGUAGGUGAACCUGCGGAAGGAUCAUUACAAGAAGUUGAAAGAUACUUUUUUAAAAAGGCGUAAUUUAAUUUCAUGAACUUGUUAUGCCACAGAAUAAGCAGUUGCUACCCCUAGGUGUUGCGCGUAAGGCUUGUCUGUUGCUAUAAACUUGUCUUGCAAUUAGAUUUCGACUCCAGCUGUUGGCGAAGAGUCCGUCUUCCUGCUUGAUUGAUUUCUAUUGAUUAGGUAGGCGUUCGAUUCGAACGACCCUUGUUUAUUAGUCAUGUUUGUUUCUUUGGCGAGCUCGCUCGUCAGAAGAUCCAUUAUAAACCAUUUGAAUUCGAACGAAGCUGUCUGAGUAUUUAAGUUAAUUAAAUUAAAACUUUCAACAACGGAUCUCUUGGUUCUG